rnacentral:piRNA from 1 species
UGACAGUUCGCAGGAGGA